GCAUAUAAGUAAGCGGAGGAUAAGAAACUAAAUAGGAUUCCCUUAGUAAUGGCGAAUGAACAGGGAUGAGCUCAAUAUGGAAAUUGAAGCUUCUGGCUUUGAAUUGUAAUCUCAAGAUGUAUUGCUAACGUGGGCGCAGAUGUAAGCCUCUUGGAAAAGAGAACCAUUGAGGGUGAGAGUCCUGUUUGUCAUCUGCAGUCCCGCGUGUACGGCGUACGUUCUAAGAGUCACGUUCCUCGGGAUUGGAGCGCAAACUGGGUGGUAAAUUUCAUCUCAAGCUAAAUAUGGGUUCGAAACCGAUAGCAAACAAGUACCAUGAGGGAAAGAUGAAAAGGACUUUGAAAAGAGAGUUAAAAGUGCCUGAACUUGCUGAAAGGAAAGCGGAUGGAACCAGUGUUGCUUGGUAAGAUUGUUGCGCGCUAUGGUGAUAGCUUGUAGUAUCAGCGCAAGCGGUGCUGCGGGUUUUGAUCUUGUUGCGUGUGAUGUUUCUUGCCUUGUGUGUCACUGUCGGUUCGUUGGUGGGGAUAACCCUGGGGACAUGGUAGUUUGGCCACGGCUGAGCGAAUGUGCCUUGUGGAACCCACCACUGAACUGCAAACUCAAUGUGCGGUCGCGCUGCCCCGCUCGGUGAGGCUGCCUGCUUCGUGCUGCGCUUCGCCUUGUUGGGGCACCUUCUGCACACAGCCAUGGUGACUGAAUGGUUCUAUUCGACCCGUCUUGAAACACGGACCAAGGAGUCUAACAUAUGUGCGAGUUCUUGGGUGGUGAAACCUACGUGCGCAAUGAAAGUGAUUACUGAGAAUCUAGCAUCAGCAGCCGACCGAUCAAUUGGGAGAGGUUUGAGCAUGAGCAUAUCUGUUAGGACCCGAAAGAUGGUGAACUAUGCCUGUGAAGGGUGAAGUCUGGGGAAACUCAGAUGGAGGCUCGUAGCGAUACUGACGUGCAAAUCGUUCGUCAUACAUGGGUAUAGGGGCGAAAGACUAAUCGAACCAUCUAGUA
rnacentral:rRNA from 1 species